GCGUGCUGCCUGGAACGGGAAAGCCGCUUGGAGGGAGCGCCCGGAGGGGCUGAGCCGCUCAGGCCCGGUGUCUUCCUUCUGGCCUUACCAACCAGAUCCCUUCUUCUCUACGCUUGGAGACGGCUGGGAGGAGGGCAGGGCACGUCCAACAUGCAGAUGUGAGCUGAGAGCGGCGUCCUCCUAGAGCAGAGCCCUGGACGGACUCUAAGGUCCUCCAUGACCCCGUCAUCCUGAAGUUCAUGUCCUCGUGGGUCUCCCCCCCUUGAGUGUGAGCAGGACUUGUGACUUCUAGCCGAAUAGAAUAGGGCAGCGGUGGCGGGACCUCGCUUCUGUGGUAACAUGAAUAGUGAGUCUGUUUUGCGGAGAGACUGCCUUGUGGGCUGUGAAGCAGCAGCCUGCGGCGCGGAGGGGGCGGGGCGGCAGGGGGCCGGGAAUGCCCCCUGGCCCGCAGCGAGCAACGAGAAGCCCGAGGCCCCCAUCCCCCAGCCUGCCAACGCACGAACACUUCCGGGAGCCACCUGCGUUUGGAAGAGGUUCCUUCCCCAGGGAAGUCCCCCGUGAGCCCACGGCCCCGCCAGACACAGCCACUGUGGCUUCGUGACACCCCGUGGAGACGUUUUAAGCUGCUAAGUGUGUGACCAUAUUGUGAACUGUCAGAUAACACAAAUAAGGGAACAAAGGCUGACGGAGGGUGACAUUUGUCUAGUGUCAUUGAGCAGAGCCAGGAUUUCAACACGAAUCUGAAUAAAUAAGCUGUAGCCUC